AGAAGCAAGACAGGGGAAUUAUCCCGAGGUCUGGGGUGUGCUAGUGCGCGCGCUGGGGACAGGACGAGUGCAAUGAGGGCCAGGGCGAGGAUCUGGCUUCCGCGCCCGGCCAAGGAACGCCGCCCCAGACGGGAUUUCCCACAGAUCAGCGGAGGUUUGGCAAACGCCAAAUAAACACUGCAGCUCCGGCGCCGGAGCGUUCAGCGCGCUCGGGGAAUCCUUUGGAGUGAUUCGGAGGUUCAGACUCCUUAAGGGCCAACCGAGCUUGCAACCCAAGAGGCGGUUAUCAACUCGAAUUUAGGAAAAUCCCGAGGCGCCGAACAGACGCCAGCAAUUUAGAAAGGCAAGACUCCAGCCUCCAUGACUUUCUCUCAGUUCCAAAUGGCAGAACAGUUGCUAAAGAAAAGAGGAACAGCAAGGAAACCACC